rnacentral:rRNA from 1 species
UACGGUGGGGGCUAGCGUUAUCCGGAAUUAUUGGGCGUAAAGCGUCCGUAGGUGGGUUAUCAAGUCAGUUGUUAAAUAGUGAAGCUUAACUUCAUAGAGGCGACUGAAACUGAUAGUCUAGAGUUUGGUAGGGGUAGAGGGAAUUUCCAGUGUAGCGGUGAAAUGCGUAGAUAUUGGAAAGAACAUCGGUGGCGAAAGCGCUCUACUGGGCCAUGACUGACACUGAGGGACGAAAGCUAGGGGAGCGAAUGGG